AGCAGGCGGGGCCAUGAAGCUGAGACGCACACGGGCUUCUGUUUGGAGGGAGCUGCGGGAAGAUUAAAAGCAGGUAGGUGUAUUGAUUGGCGGAUAGACGGCAGCGCGGUGGACAUUGAUUGGGCAAACAGCCAAUUUCUGACCCCGGAGAGCAGCAGAUAAUCAGUGACCUCAAUCCAGAAGGAGACGCAGAGAAUGAAGCGAGCGCUGCAGAGAUGUUUCUCGCUCUGCUCUAAUUUAAUGACCUUUUUCGGUUUCAAAUGCUAAAUGUGGACGCACUGAUGCAGCGCAGUGUCCUCAUCAACACUGGCUUCUGUUGUUGUUUGGGUCACAUACGUUUUAUGUUUGGCCAAGUCACGUGACGUGACCCCUGGUCCACUCAGACCCCUUUGACCUUUGGAAGUGAGCAGCCAAUCAAUAGCACAAUAAACAGAAUGGAUGCUUUCAUAACAGAUCCAGAGCUUCAAGUAAAUGACUGUACUUUCCACUAAUGAAUGUGAAACGAUGAGUGAGAUGAUGGUAAAGCGUCUCGAACAGUGACCAGUGUGGUCGUGUUUUUAACAAAAAAGACAAUUACAGCAGAGACCUGCGUGACCUGACACCCACCGCCGGCUGCAGAGAACGUGAGGGCGGAGCAGGUUUCUGAUGGUAACGUGACCGGAGCGGAGAAAACCCUGGAAUUAGGUUGUGCACGGCUUCUCACUGCCUUCAGGGAAUGAAAAGCGGUGGCUGGGAGCGGAGACCUUCACAUUGCCUGCGCAGCCACAGGCCAUUUGGGGGACUCUGAACCCACCAGUUUACAACCUGCAUGGAUCUGUGGGGGAGGGGCUGAGCAACCACAGGUUCCCUCCUGGUAAUUGCCUGGUCAGUCUUUGAUUCUGGACUUUACGUGGAUGUUGGACAAGAUAAUGUUUAGAAUAUUAAGGCUUUUAGCAGUACUGUUAAAGAUAAAGCCUGCCUAAACUCUUUAUUGUCAAUAAAUCACAUAUAUGCACAAAAAACGCAAUAACAAACAUAGAGAAAAUGUGCAGCAUUAUGCUUUAGGUGAUUAUAAUAACACAAGGGUUUAUCUUUACUGAUGUUCUUUAUAAUCUACUAAAAAUAAUAUAAAUAAUUGCUGAACCUUUUAUUAACAUGACCAACAUAUAUUACCAUUAGCUCUGUUUUCAGUACACCAAACAAUAUUUAACGUACAAACAUACCUUCU